GCAACCAUGGCGGAACUGGCAGACGCGCACGUUUGAGGGGCGUGUGGGAGACCGUGAGGGUUCGAGUCCCUUUGGUUGCACCA
rnacentral:tRNA from 1 species